rnacentral:rRNA from 1 species
GUUGAUGACCAUGUCACCCUGAACAUGCCUGAUACUGUAUGAACUCAGAAGCUAAGCAGGGUUGGUUCUGGAUAGUACUUAGAUAUAAAAAGGAGUAAAGAAAUGGUAAUUAAAGU